AGUAGAAUUACUGGGUCAUAUGGUAACUCUAUAUUUAACAUUUUGAGGAAUUGUCAGAUUGUUUUCCAAAGCAGCUUCACCAUUUUUCAUUCCCACCAGCAAU
rnacentral:pre_miRNA from 1 species